rnacentral:ncRNA from 1 species
GCAAACCUGUUGAAAUGCAGUGACGCAAAGCCAAUGGGUCUAAGGCGUACAGCUAUGACAGCCGGUUGCUG